GGCACGUAUCGGAUUACUGGGCGUAAGCGCGCGUAGGCGGUUUGUUAAGUCAGAUGUGAAAUCCCCGGGCUCAACCUGGGAAUGGCAUUUGAGACUGGCAGGCUAGAGUGUGGUAGAGGUGAGUGGAAUUUCAGGUGUAGCGGUGAAAUGCGUAGAGAUCUGAAGGAACAUCAGUGGCGAAGGCGACUCACUGGGCCAUUACUGACGCUGAGGUGCGAAAGCGUGGGUAGCAAACAGGAUUAGAUACCCUGGUAGUCCACGCCCUAAACGAUGUCAACUAGGUGUAUGGAGAAUUUAUUCUUUGUGUAUCGAAGCUAACGCGAUAAGUUGACCGCCUGGGGAGUACGGUCGCAAGACUAAAACUCGAGUGGAAGUGACGGGGGCCCGCACAAA
rnacentral:rRNA from 1 species